rnacentral:lncRNA from 1 species
ACGGUUCCUGGACUUCAAAAUGAUAGAUAACAAAUCUUUUGUCUCUCAAGUACAGGAGUUUUGCAAGUCAUCAUGCAUGAUCUCCUAGCAGAAGGUAUAUCUUUGAAAAUACCUUAGUUGAACAAAUUAAAAAUGUUCUUAAUCCUCACAUAAACUGUUUCUUAGGUUUAAUCGUGAAUGAUGCUUUCCAAGUAGCAGCGAUA